rnacentral:rRNA from 1 species
GACAGAGGAUGCAAGCGUUAUCCGGAAUGAUUGGGCGUAAAGCGUCUGUAGGUGGCUUUUUAAGUCCGCCGUCAAAUCCCAGGGCUCAACCCUGGACAGGCGGUGGAAACUACCAAGCUGGAGUACGGUAGGGGCAGAGGGAAUUUCCGGUGGAGCGGUGAAAUUCGUAGAUAUUCGCAGGAACACCAGUGGCGAAGGCGGCUUACUGGUCCAUAACUGACGCUGAGGUGCGAAAGCGUGGGGAGCAAACAGGG